UGGCUCAGAUUGAACGCUGGCGGCAGGCUUAACACAUGCAAGUCGAGCGGGGGAGGUUGCUUCGGUAACUGACCUAGCGGCGGACGGGUGAGUAAUGCUUAGGAAUCUGCCUAUUAGUGGGGGACAACAUUCCGAAAGGAAUGCUAAUACCGCAUACGUCCUACGGGGGAAAGCAGGGGAUCUUCGGACCUUGCGCUAAUAGAUGAGCCUAAGUCGGAUUAGCUAGUUGGUGGGGUAAAGGCCUACCAAGGCGACGAUCUGUAGCGGGUCUGAGAGGAUGAUCCGCCACACUGGGACUGAGACACGGCCCAGACUCCUACGGGAGGCAGCAGUGGGGAAUAUUGGACAAUGGGCGCAAGCCUGAUCCAGCCAUGCCGCGUGUGUGAAGAAGGCCUUUUGGUUGUAAAGCACUUUAAGCGAGGAGGAGGCUCCUUUAGUUAAUACCUAAAGAGAGUGGACGUUACUCGCAGAAUAAGCACCGGCUAACUCUGUGCCAGCAGCCGCGGUAAUACAGAGGGUGCGAGCGUUAAUCGGAUUUACUGGGCGUAAAGCGUGCGUAGGCGGCUUUUUAAGUCGGAUGUGAAAUCCCUGAGCUUAACUUAGGAAUUGCAUUCGAUACUGGAAAGCUAGAGUAUGGGAGAGGAUGGUAGAAUUCCAGGUGUAGCGGUGAAAUGCGUAGAGAUCUGGAGGAAUACCGAUGGCGAAGGCAGCCAUCUGGCCUAAUACUGACGCUGAGGUACGAAAGCAUGGGGAGCAAACAGGAUUAGAUACCCUGGUAGUCCAUGCCGUAAACGAUGUCUACUAGCCGUUGGGGCCUUUGAGGCUUUAGUGGCGCAGCUAACGCGAUAAGUAGACCGCCUGGGGAGUACGGUCGCAAGACUAAAACUCAAAUGAAUUGACGGGGGCCCGCACAAGCGGUGGAGCAUGUGGUUUAAUUCGAUGCAACGCGAAGAACCUUACCUGGCCUUGACAUACUAAGAACUUUCCAGAGAUGGAUUGGUGCCUUCGGGAACUUAGAUACAGGUGCUGC
rnacentral:rRNA from 1 species